rnacentral:rRNA from 1 species
CAAUAGCGUAUAUUAAAGUUGUUGCAGUUAAAAAGCUCGUAGUUGGAUUUCUGGUCGGAAGCUCCAGUCCUCUGAUGAGCGUACAAGUGCGUCCUACCAUCCUUCUGUUAACCUUUAAGGCUUUCGCGGCUUUCUAGGGGCUCAGAUAUUUUACCUUGAGAAAAUUAGAGUGUUUCAGGCAGGCUAGCGCCGGAAUACAUUAGCAUGGAAUAAUGGAAUAGGACUUUUGCCUCUUCUGUUGGUCAUGAGGCUCGAGUAAUGAUUAAUAGGGAUAGUUGGGGGCAUUAGUACUUAACUGUCAGAGGUGAAAUUCUCGGAUUUGUUAAAGACUAACUUAUGCGAAAGCAUUUGCCAAGGAUGUUUUCAUUA